CACACAGAGCGCUUUAAACGAGCAGCAGCCACUCAGCGUCUGAGGCGCCGGGGAAUCCCGCUGCUCGCGCCGCGUCACCGAGCCCGAUCACCGCCCACAGACCCGGUGAUCUCCGGCGCUCUUCCACGCGAACGCCGACUUCACUCCCGUCCGUCCGUGCACCGAAUCCGCCACGCUGUUCAGCAUCUAAACGGCCGGCUUUCCCCCCCGUGCAGACCCUGAGCUCAAACGGUGACAGAAUUCCCCGUCCCUCCACGCCCCUCCGCGAGCGGCGCUUCCCCCCGCGCUCAGACCGGAGAGGAAGGCUCUUAUUCGGUCAGAUGGCGUGCCGCAGUCCGCCCACGCGUUUCUCGCGCCCACACGGGCAGCGAAAGGAGCGUCAUUAACUCACCGCCACUGCCAGCGCAGCAGAAGCACAGAGUUUCAAGAACAUUUCAGUCCAGGCGCACAUCUGUAGAACAAGGUCUAACAAGCACAGAGAACAAAAAUAAACCGGGCGUCGGAGGCGCAGAGACACGGGGGUUUUUAACAGAAGGGAAAGUUUGACUCGGUCGCCGGGAGCUCAAGCGGUCUGCCGGAUCCCGUCCUGGAUUCUGUCCUGAAACCUCUCGAGCCGCGCAUCGGGAUGUCUCUUCCGCGGACGCUGGGCGAGCUCCAGCUCUACCGAGUUUUACAAAGGGCCAACCUGCUGAUGUACUACGACACCUUCAUCCAGCAGGGCGGCGAUGACGUCCAGCAGCUGUGCGAGGCGGGCGAAGACGAGUUCCUGGAGAUCAUGGCCCUGGUCGGCAUGGCCACCAAACCCCUGCAUGUGCGGCGUCUGCAGAAGGCUCUGCGCGACUGGGCCGCAAACCCGGCGCUGUUCAACCAGCCUCUGGCCGCCAACGUGGCCCCUUGUGGGAUCCCUCUCCUUCGGAUCGACUCCGCAGGCUCGGGGGGCGCUGGGGGCAGAAAGUGUUUAAGCAACGGUCAGCCGGGCUCUCCGGGAGAAAGAGAGGAAGUGGGAUCUUGCCUCACGCCGCUCAGGGAUAACAGUCCGAAGAGCCCGUGCUCGCAGGCUUCUCCUGUACCUCCUGACCAUCUGUACCGAGAAAAACUGUCCCCCAUGGACCCCCACUGGCUCAGUCCGGAGAUGUACGGAGCCGUCGAGUUAGAUGAAGAUCAGCCCAUUACCCCUCUGCCUUUCGCUUGCCACUCGCGUCUCCUCGGUCCUCCGACGCCGACGUCUUCUUCGUCCUCCUCCACUAUGACCUCUCCGUGGCCCGGGGGUCAGCUGGACCCGGAGACCAUCAAAGCCGUGGAGGAGAGCGUCGAUAGGCUGCUGAGAACCAUGCCGCAAGCUGACCAAACCGAGGUGAAGACGCUUUUGAGGCUCAAUAAGAAAAUGGCCAAGACGGUGGGACACAUUUUCAACCUGGAGCCUCAGGACAGGAGCAAAGAGGAAGAGAUUCGCAAGUACAGCCUGAUCUACGGCCGCUUUGACUCCAAGAGGAGGGAAGGGAAACAGCUCACCCAUCAUGAGAUGCUCAUCAACGAGGCGGCGGCUCAGUUCUGCAUCCGUGACAACGCUCUGUUGUUACGUAGAGUCGAACUCUUCUCUUUAGCGCGGCAAGUGGCGAGAGAAUGUGCCUACACGUCAACGUUUAAACAUAACAGGACAUACUCAGAUGAUUGCACUGCCUCUGUUGACUGUUCUGCUCAGAAGAGACUCAAGCUUGAUGUCACAGAUUCUGACAGACUGUGUAAGGAUCCAGUAAUCAACAGUGACAACAGAUCUACAGCGGAUGACAACAGCCUCUCUGGAGAAAGUCUGGAUAGUUUAACACAAGAUAUCAGCCCUCAGUUGCACCCCUCCUCAUCCCCUCACCCCCUCACCGACACUGCUGGCCUCAUCAACUGGAGCCGCCAGCUCAUGCAGCAAACGCUCAUGGAUGAGGGCCUCAGAUUGGCUAGAAUGGUGUCACGUGACAACGCGAGCAAAGUCAGCCUAGGGUCAGAAAAGAGACAAAUUUCAGUGGAACAGUUCUCCUUCGAGCCAUCCGGUAUGCAGAGGAACGUUUCUUUAUAGGAACACGGCGUUGGAUCCUUUGCAGUGAAUGGGUGCCGCCAGGAGUCCAAACAGCUGAUAAAAACAUGACAAUAAUCUACUCUACACUGCAGUCCAAUCCAUCGGUAAUGGGUUGUGAAGUGAAAAGUUCAAACAAAUCCCUUGUUAGGACGUUUCGACUUUAAACAUCUCCUCCUGGUUAAAAUGGGAGUCCAUAAUCCAGAUGGAGGAGAAGGUGUCAGAGAGGAGAGGAUCAAGUAACAGAAGCAGCAGUCCAGCAAACACCAAAGACGAUCCGUAACUGACAUUCUGGAAGUCUCCAUGUUGAACUCAGGUUGGAUGUCAUGUCUAAAUGCAGCCGCGGUGUUCGGUUCGCUAUGGUCUGUGAAGCUUUGAAGACUUGUCUGCACCUUGCCGUGUUCUUUUAGAGCAUUUAAGGGCGUUUGUGGAAAGUUAUUGUAUCUUUGCGAACGAAAUUUGAAGCAACGUCGUGUUACAAAUACAUUCCGUGUUCUCUGUCGGGUUAAAAUGUCAGUGAAAAGCUUCAAUGGUGCUAAUUUUGUGUCGAGCUAAUUCUAGAACGAAUCUGUGUUACCUAAACCUUAAUUUAUUCGGUCAGAUGACCUGCUUCUCGUUCUAAGCGGAGCUGGGAGACUUUGGGUUUACUUUUCAUUCCAUUUUCUCAGUUUCUUGUUUAGAUGGAGUUCUAAGAAAGGUUUGGGAGGAACGUGUUUAUUUAAUCCACUUUAUUAUGUACAGCGAGCGAAAUACGUUUACAGGUUUUGGAUUAUAUUAACAUGUGAAAUCCUGAAAUCGACUAUAUUAAGAAACCCUUACACUAGCAACGCACCGAUGCAGUAAACAUGAAUACAGCAACUCUAAAAUGCACAGAUGAGUUUUCUUGGGUUACAAAAUGUAAAUGAUUCAAAUGAUUCAAACGAAUCGAAUGAACGUUUCAAGGUUGAAUGGCUAAUGAGAACAGCAUUACAGCGCUCAUGUUAAAAAUAGAUCUGUGGCCUCUUUAAUGACAGAUUAUUUAUUUUUUAAUUUCUCAAUAAAUUAUAUUGUAUUGUUUCUCUA